CACGAGGCCGGCGGUGGAAGGCAGGAGAGAAGGAAGGAGGGAAGGAAGGAGCAUUGCGGGGUUGCGGGGCGAGCCCGCUGAGCCCGCAGCUCGGCUGGCCCCGGCAGCCUCGCAUUGCCCUGCGUGCCGCGGGAUCUCCCAUUCCCAAGCCUUACCUGUAUAGAGGAGGAGGCUGUGAUGAGGCAGAAGAUGCCGCGAGACCCUGAGGCAGUGAGGCAAAUCCCAUCCUCUCCCUGUCUAUCCUCCCUCAGGCAAGGAGCUGAGGAUGGAGACCCGGGAGAACAAAUCCCCAAGAAAGAACAUUGUGGCAGAGGCAGUUUUGAGUGGCUCCUUGGUGCAGGAAUGCAAUGGAGAGGAAAAGCCCCGGAGAUCCCACAGGAGGAGGGGCGGCAAACCCAGCCAAGGGUGUUCGGAGGAGGAAAGACCCACCUUGAGCCAGGAAGGCAGCCAGAGAUCUGGUCAGGGCUCUGAGGUGGUGGUUGGAAAGGAGCUCC
rnacentral:lncRNA from 1 species